UGAAGUGUGAUGUUAAAUGUUGAUGUUUGAUGUUAUAUGUUAAGAAAGUAAACCAUUUUGUUUUUAAAAAUUGUUGUUGCAAACUCAUUCCAAGUUCGCCCCACAGAACCUACAGAUAGAGGCUACAUUAAAAUACUAAUUGUAG